rnacentral:rRNA from 1 species
GAUGAACGCUGGCGGCGUGCCUAAUACAUGCAAGUCGAGCGAACAGAUAAGGAGCUUGCUCCUUUGACGUUAGCGGCGGACGGGUGAGUAACACGUGGGUAACCUACCUAUAAGACUGGGAUAACUUCGGGAAACCGGAGCUAAUACCGGAUAACAUUUGGAACCGCAUGGUUCUAAAGUGAAAGAUGGUUUUGCUAUCACUUAUAGAUGGACCCGCGCCGUAUUAGCUAGUUGGUAAGGUAACGGCUUACCAAGGCAACGAUACGUAGCCGACCUGAGAGGGUGAUCGGCCACACUGGAACUGAGACACGGUCCAGACUCCUACGGGAGGCAGCAGUAGGGAAUCUUCCGCGAUGGGCGAAAGCCUGACGGAGCAACGCCGCGUGAGUGAUGAAGGGUUUCGGCUCGUAAAACUCUGUUAUUAGGGAAGAACAAAUGUGUAAGUAACUGUGCACGUCUUGACGGUACCUAAUCAGAAAGCCACGGCUAACUACGUG